CCACAGACCAGACGUGUUGCGCCGCGCAGCAUCGUACAGCAUCCAAAAAUUGGAAACCAUUGCAAUUAAUUGAGGUGCGCACUCCAUACUUGGCGACUCCCAAAUGCGGGAAUCUCGACUGCAUAAUUUCUGGUAGUGGGGGACUGCGUUCGUGCUCUCCCCCU